GAUGAACGCUGGCGGCGUGCCUAAUACAUGCAAGUCGAGCGAACAGAUGAGAAGCUUGCUUCUCUGAUGUUAGCGGCGGACGGGUGAGUAACACGUGGGUAACCUACCUAUAAGACUGGGAUAACUCCGGGAAACCGGGGCUAAUACCGGAUAAUAUUUUGAACCGCAUGGUUCAAUAGUGAAAGACGGUUUCGGCUGUCACUUAUAGAUGGACCCGGGCCGUAUUAGCUAGUUGGUAAGGUAACGGCUUACCAAGGCGACGAUACGUAGCCGACCGGAGAGGGUGAUCGGCCACACUGGAACUGAGACACGGUCCAGACUCCUACGGGAGGCAGCAGUAGGGAAUCUUCCGCAAUGGGCGAAAGCCUGACGGAGCAACGCCGCGUGAGUGAUGAAGGUCCUCGGAUCGUAAAACUCUGUUGUUAGGGAAGAACAAAUUUGUUAGUAACUGAACAAGUCUUGACGGUACCUAACCAGAAAGCCACGGCUAACUACGUGCCAGCCGCCGCCGUAA
rnacentral:rRNA from 1 species